UAGUGGUAAUUCUUGUGGAAGUUUUCAAAUUAAAAGCUAAGCAAUCAUCUUUCCUUGCAUACAUGCAUGACAUAAUUUUAUAGAAUCUGCAUCUACAGGUUUUAAAUUAUGCCCAAUUAUAUAUGGAAUUAUCUUUUAAAAUAAUGUAGAUCGUAGAUGUACCAACCAUCUAUGUCAGAGAAAAAUGCCACUCUUUGUGAUAGAUGAUGUAAAAUUAAAUAUAAUGGGAGGCCACAUUGCAAUCUAAUAUAAACGACUUGUUACAUCAAAGGUUUUUUCAACAACUUUAUGAUUCUAU
rnacentral:lncRNA from 1 species